rnacentral:rRNA from 1 species
GACGAGGGGUCCUAGCGUUGUUCGGAAUCACUGGGCGUAAAGCGUAUGUAGGCGGCUUUUCAAGUCAGGUGUGAAAUCCCAUGGCUUAACCAUGGAACUGCAUUUGAAACUGUAAAGCUUGAGUAUUGGAGAGGAUGGUAGAAUUCCUGGUGUAGUGGUGAAAUACGUAGAUAUCAGGAGGAAUACCGGUGGCGAAGGCGGCCAUCUGGCCAAAAUACUGACGCUGAGAUACGAAAGUGUGGGGAUCAAACAGG